UACGGAGGAUGCAAGCGUUAUCCGGAAUGAUUGGGCGUAAAGCGUCCGCAGGUGGCUAUGUAAGUCUGCUGUUAAAGAGUGAGGCUCAACCUCAUAAGAGCAGUGGAAACUACAUGGCUAGAGUACGUUCGGGGCAGAGGGAAUUCCUGGUGUAGCGGUGAAAUGCGUAGAGAUCAGGAAGAACACCAGUGGCGAAGGCGCUCUGCUAGGCCGUAACUGACGCUGAGGAGCGAAAGCGUGGGGAGCGAACAGG
rnacentral:rRNA from 1 species